GACGAACCGUACGAACGUUAUUCGGAAUCACUGGGCUUAAAGGGUGCGUAGGCGGCGCAGCAAGUUGGGUGUGAAAUCCCUCGGCUCAACCGAGGAACUGCGCCCAAAACUGCUGUGCUCGAGGGAGACAGAGGUGAGCGGAACUUAGGGUGGAGCGGUGAAAUGCGUUGAUAUCCUAAGGAACACCGGUGGCGAAAGCGGCUCACUGGGUCUCUUCUGACGCUGAGGCACGAAAGCUAGGGUAGCGAACGGG
rnacentral:rRNA from 1 species